rnacentral:rRNA from 1 species
ACAUCCAGCGAACUUGGCAGAGAUGCCUUGGUGCCUUCGGGAACGCUGAGACAGGUGCUGCAUGGCUGUCGUCAGCUCGUGUUGUGAAAUGUUGGGUUAAGUCCCGNAACGAGCGCAACCCUUUAUCCUUUGUUGCCAGCGAUUCGGUCGGGAACUCAAAGGAGACUGCCGGUGAUAAACCGGAGGAAGGUGGGGAUGACGUCAAGUCAUCAUGGCCCUUACGAGUAGGGCUACACACGUGCUACGAUGGCGCAUACAAAGAGAAGCGACCUCGCGAGAGCAAGCGGACCUCAUAAAGUGCGUCGUAGUCCGGAUCGGAGUCUGCAACUCGACUCCGUGAAGUCGGAAUCGCUAGUAAUCGUGGAUCAGAAUGCCACGGUGAAUACGUUCCCGGGCCUUGUACACACCGCCCGUCACACCAUGGGAGUGGGUUGCAAAAGAAGUAGGUAGCUUAACCUUCGGGAGGGCGCUUACCACUUUGUGAUUCAUGACUGGGGUGAAGUCGUAACAAGGUAAGCGUAGCGAG